rnacentral:rRNA from 1 species
AUUGAACGCUGGCGGCAGGCCUAACACAUGCAAGUCGAGCGGAUGAAGGGAGCUUGCUCCUGGAUUCAGCGGCGGACGGGUGAGUAAUGCCUAGGAAUCUGCCUGGUAGUGGGGGAUAACGUCCGGAAACGGGCGCUAAUACCGCAUACGUCCUGAGGGAGAAAGUGGGGGGUCUUCGGACCUCACGCUAUCAGAUGAGCCUAGGUCGGAUUAGCUAGUUGGUGGGGUAAAGGCCUACCAAGGCGACGAUCCGUAACUGGUCUGAGAGGAUGAUCAGUCACACUGGGACUGAGACACGGUCCAGACUCCUACGGGAGGCAGCAGUGGGGAAUAUUGGACAAUGGGCGAAAGCCUGAUCCAGCCAUGCCGCGUGUGUGAAGAAGGUCUUCGGAUUGUAAAGCACUUUAAGUUGGGAGGAAGGGCAGUAAGUUAAUACCUUGCUGUUUUGACGUUACCAACAGAAUAAGCACCGGCUAACUUCGUG